UCACACAAUAUUUUGUUUCUGAUGCCCGCUUGUUUGUUUGUUUGUUUGUUUGUUUGUUUGACCGAGAUGGAUCCUCACUACUGCCAAGUCAUCGUUAACAUUGAUGGGGAAAUUCUCAACUUGGACCAUAUGCGCCUCACCAUCACAAUCAGGGACGUCACCGAGAAGGUCCUAGAAAUGAAAGGUCUGAAUGGCCUUCGAUACCUCUUUCUUGGCUACCAACGUCCUCUCAACGAAAUCGUCCUUCUGCCGAAAAGCAAGCGCCUGGCCGAUGCUAAGUCAGAUAUUAUCAGGGACACGGCGACGAAGGCCAACCUCAAUGUCAUUUUGCUCCAAGGCGAAUUCUCCGAUGGUCUAAACAUACCGCCCGCAGGCUAGGUGUAUUCCGACAAUCGGACUAGCCGUGUUCCGGACUUGGACUCAGAACCGAUCUCAAGGAAGAAGGGCAAUUGGUUUGGAACUUCCAAGUAACUCAGCAUGUCAAUUGAGACGAAAAGUGUUUAUUUAACCAUGGAUCCAUGAUUUAACACGGGCGAAUAUUUUUGUGAUUGGUUUGGUCUCUUUUUGGUAUUAUAAUACAAUUCCAAGAUGGAUGCUUGAAA